GCUAAUAGGGCUGCUAUUGCAGGCUACUUUGAUAUAGUAGAUUUAAAACAUGUGUGUUUCGUUAGUA
rnacentral:tRNA from 2 species